AGGUGGGAUUAGGUGAAAUUGGAGAAUUUGACAUAGCUAAAGAUGCGGCGAAGCAGCUAGUCAAUUCCAACCCAGAACCCACCACAGCAGUCCUAGUUCCUCAGAGCUCGAUCACUUCAUGGAAGCGUACUGCAUGGCUCUGGGUAAGCUGAAAGAAGCCAUAGAGGAACCUACAAGAGAGACGAAGGCUUUCAUAAAUGGAAUGUAUAUAGAUCUCAAUGACCUCAUCACUGACAAAAUAAUUAGUAGUCAACCAAAUGAUCCGCAAGAAUCUCUAUGAUAUCCACGAUCCACUUCUCACCAAUGCCAUGGUAUAUGCUUGCGGGUAGUCGCUAUAUAUAUGUCAUAUAAGUUAUAAAUCUGGUUGUUGUACUGUAAGCAGUUUAUGAAAAUUUGAAGCUUAGCGAUCCGAGUGAAUAUGCAGACCGAUAUGCACUAACUCGCCGGACGGUAAUUAGUUGAUGUUAUGAAAGGAUUUCUCUCAGCUGGCUGCUCUGCGAAAGCAUUUAUAGCUGUAAUUUGGGUGCUCAUUAGUCAUCAGGUUUGAUAAACUCUCUCUUCAAUGUCUGAGUCAGGACUCGGGGCACUGAACGCCACGACUGUACUAGCACAUUACGAUAAAGUAUAUUACUCUC